rnacentral:rRNA from 1 species
AAUGAACGUUGGCGGCGUGGAUUAGGCAUGCAAGUCGAGCGAGAACCCCGCAAGGGGGGCCAGCGGCGCAAGGGACAGUACUGUGUAGAUUAUCUGCCCUCAGGUCCGGGAUAGCUGCGGGAAACUGCAGGUAAUACCGGAUAACAUCUCCGGAUCAAAGGUGUGAUUCCGCCUGAGGAUGAGUCUGCAUCCUAUUAGCUAGUUGGUGGGGUAAUGGCCUACCAAGGCAUUGAUGGGUAGCAGGUGUGAGAGCACGACCUGCGUCAUUGGGACUGAGACACUGCCCAGACACCUACGGGUGGCUGCAGUCGAGAAUCGUCGGCAAUGGGCGCAAGCCUGACCGAGCGACGCCGCGUGUGGGAUGAAGGCCUUCGGGUUGUAAACCACUGUCAGAGGGGAUGAAAUGCAGGUGGGUUCUCCCAUCUGUUUGACAUAGCCUCAGAGGAAGGACGGGCUAAGUUCGUG